UACGAAGGGGGCUAGCGUUGUUCGGAAUUACUGGGCGUAAAGCGCACGUAGGCGGAUUUGUAAGUCAGGGGGUGAAAAUCCCCGGGGGCUCAACCUCGGAACUGCCUUUUGAUACUGCAAGUCUUGAGUCCGGAAGAGGUGGAGUGGAAUUCCUAGUGUAGAAGGUGAAAUUCGUAGAUAUUAGGAAGAACACCAGUGGCGAAGGCGGCUCACUGGUCCGGUACUGACGCUGAGGUGCGAAAGCGUGGGGAGCAAACAGG
rnacentral:rRNA from 1 species